UACGGGGGGGGCAAGCGUUGUUCGGAAUUACUGGGCGUAAAGGGCUCGUAGGCGGCCAUCUAAGUCAGACGUGAAAUCCCCAGGCUCAACCUGGGAACUGCGUCUGAUACUGGAUGGCUUGAAUUCGGGAGAGGGAUGCAGAAUUCCAGGUGUAGCGGUGAAAUGCGUAGAUAUCUGGAGGAAUACCAGUGGCGAAGGCGGCAUCCUGGACCGACAUUGACGCUGAUGAGCGAAAGCUAGGGGAGCAAACGGG
rnacentral:rRNA from 1 species